rnacentral:tRNA from 1 species
GGGGUUGUGGCUCAGUGGUAGAGUGCUUGCCUAGCAUGCAUGAGGCACUGGAUGGGAUCCUCAGCACCA